rnacentral:rRNA from 3 species
GGACUACCGGGGUAUCUAAUCCCGUUCGCUACCCUAGCUUUCGCGCCUCAGCGUCAGAAGAGGUCCAGCACGUCGCUUUCGCCACCGGCGUUCCUUCCGAUAUCAACGCAUUUCACCGCUCCACCGGAAGUUCCACAUGCCCCUACCUCCCUCCAGACGAGCAGUAUCCAAGGCACUUUUCCGGUUAAGCCGAAAGAUUUCACCCCGGACUUGCUCGCCCGCCUACGCGCCCUUUAAGCCCAGUGAUUCCGAACAACGUUCGCACGGUUCGUCUUACCGCGGCUGCUGGCAC